UACGGAGGAUCCAAGCGUUAUCCGGAUUUAUUGGGUUUAAAGGGUGCGUAGGCGGCCUAUUAAGUCAGGGGUGAAAGACGGUAGCUUAACUAUCGCAGUGCCUUUGAUACUGAUGGGCUUGAAUACACUAGAGGUAGGCGGAAUGUGACAAGUAGCGGUGAAAUGCAUAGAUAUGUCACAGAACACCAAUUGCGAAGGCAGCUUACUAUGGUGCAAUUGGCGCUGAGGCACGAAAGCGUGGGGAUCAAACAGG
rnacentral:rRNA from 1 species